GACCGGCGCGCCCUUACCAGCCGUCCCUUAUCCGACAGGACGCGCACCGACUGAGCCCCGAAGUACUUAAGCAAGUCCUCUUUCUCCUCGGCGGUCAGCUCGGCCGGCAGGUGCCUCACUAGAAGGGUCCGGUCGCCCCGCGGCGGAGAGAGCGAGGCGGAGCUCUGGCAUCCCCUGGACAUGGGCGGUAGCGGCUGCUCGGGAGCCGCCAUUUCCCUCGGCGACGGCGACGGCGACGCGAGAAGAGCUUGCAGCGACAACACGCCCGGCCACAGAGGCUGAGGGAAAAGAGUGUUUUUCCGCCUCGCGCUAGGGAUUCUGGAAACAAGGAAGUACCGCGAUAGAUGGUCUCCUUCUCGCGAGACUUGCGCCCGGGCGGGGCGGGGCGGGGCGGGGGGCGGCUGACCCCUCUUCAGAGGCGGUCUCCUUAAAGCGAAGGACCAGGUUGCACCGCGGUGGGAACGCGAAGUGACUUAAAUUCCAGGGAGCGGGCGCAGGGAUUGGGGAGGAAGCGUCGCCCCAGAGAAGCGCGGGGAUUUAAAACCCUGUCAGGGGAGGAGGAGGGGGCGUCGGCCGCGUGAAGGAGAAGGUUUUAUUUAUUCAUGAAAGACAGAGAGGCAGCGACCCAGGCGGUGGGAGAAGCAGGCUCCAUGCAGGGAGCCCAACGCGGGACUCGAACCCGGGACCCCAGGAUCACGCCCCGGGGCCGAAGGCAGGCGCUCAACCGCUGGGCCACCCGGGCUGCCCAGAGAAUCCUAUGGAUAAAUUAAUCGAUAGAUGGAUCUUCACAUACUUGAUUCUCAUGAAACCUUAAAGGACGCCGACGUGGCCCCGUCUUAGCGCUGAGGAUACUGACGCUCCGAGACCUGGAGCCGCACGGCCGGCAGGCGGCAGGAGGACGUCCGAGCUGCUAGCGGGACCGGCCGGCGCCGCCGCCCGCCCUGCGCCUCGUGUCCGCCCGCGGUGAAGCCGAGAUCGCCCCGGAGCUGCAGGCGCAGCCGGCCCCGCCCGGUACAGUGAGGGCCUGCGGGCCCGGGGAGGCCCCCUCGGCCUCGGCUCUUCGCGCUCGGGUAGCCACGGCCCGCAGACCCCGGGGCCUCGGCCCGCGCUUUGGGUUUUCUUCCUAAUCAGAUGUUGAAGAUGCUACAGUAAACAUUGUGUCAAACUUCUGCUUUCGUGGCGCCUUGUUUGAGAAGCAAAGGAGGGACAGACAUUAAUAGAAACAGAUAAAAACAUGGGAAAACCCCCAAAGGUCAGGUAAAGCCAGACCCUGAUGGCCCUGUAGGUUUGUUUGGAGCCUUGAUUAUCUGGAGAGUAAUUGGAAACGGACAGAUUUUUCUAAUAGGCGUGUGUGUGUGUGUGUGUGUGUGUGUGAUGAUUAAAUUUUGGACAUGAACAUUUCUCUUUGGUUACAGUUGCAAAAAACAGAGUAGAAGCCAGAAGACAGUUGGACUACUACAGUAGUCUGGCCAAAAAACAUUGUUUGAAAUAGUUUAGUAACUGUGGAUAUAGAGAAAAGAAAUUGGAAUUGAGAUACAUUUUGGAAGUAGAAUUGAUAGACUUGUAGGUGAAAAAAAGUAAUUAAGGAUAAUUCUGGGGUUUUGGCUUGAGCCUCUCAGACUGUCACCGUCUGGGUGGAUGAUGAUGCUCUGUUGGGCAUGAGAAGAGGCACUAGGGAGCCAGAUUAGGGACUGCAGUGAAGGGUAGGAAAGGGAGGAGUAUGUAUUAGAGCUAAAAUACCUAUUCAGUGCCUGUGUUUCAAGAAGGCAACUGGAUGUACAUUUGGUAGUAUCAACAGGAUACACGUAUAGCAUCAACACAUAUAAUACUUAUAUUCAAAGAUAAGAGGUAUUAUAGGCAGGGAGACAGGGACCCAGUAUUGAUUUAUGAAGCAUCCCAAUGUGGAGAGAUGGAGGAGAGGGGAAGACCAAGAUAAUAAUCCUUUCUCUCUUGGCCCUGACACUCUAGAUAGACCGUAACCUGUAAGUAAGUGAGUAAAUUCCUUUGGAGAUUAAUAUAUUCUUUGAAGGAAAAAAAGCAGAGACAGGAUAGAGGGAUAAACUGAUUGGAGAAGGCAUGCUACGCUAAACACUAUCCUCUGUGGGCUUUUGUCCAUGUCUUUUACCAUCAGUAAAAUGAUUAGCAUAUAAUAGACAUAUAAAUAUAUGUUCAGCGAAUGAAUGUGGGAAUGGAUUAACUUUAAUAUUUAUAACUGCCUCUUUUGGUCAAGAAUUGUUUCAUAGGCCAUCAAAAUAAAUUUAAGGGUCCUUCUCUACUAUGAUUGAGACAUCACAACUCAUCGGGAUAGUAAAGGGACAGAAUUUUCUCUCUCCACUUAAUUACUUUCAGUUGUACUGACUUAAAUCUGUCUUACCCUUGUCUUGUCAAUAGAUUUCAUGAUUUCUUAGUCAUUUCCAGUUAAUAGUCCUGGGGGGCUCGAAAUGUUGACUCCGGAUUACGUUCAGGCCUCAAUUUUUACCCUCUUCACAUAUCAGGCUUCACCUAAGAGGAGAGAGAUUAAUUUGCUUUCAUUUCUCCCACCUUUGAGUAGAAGUGAGUGUGGUCUGCUCUGUGUUGCACAUUUCUCACUGUCUUUUCUUGGGAUGCCUGGGAUACCACAGAGGUUCCCAAACUUCCUUAGGUAAUGGUGCAUUUAUUGUCUUAGUAGUAUUGUUUUGUUUUGCUUUCUUAACAGCAUCCCUUAGUGCCUCCUUGCUUCCUCUUCCACCCAGAUUCUCAAGAGGCAUUUGUUCUUUAUCAAAACAACAGAAAAAAAAAAAAAAAAAAAACAAAACCCAGCUUUGCAAAAAUUUUUAAAUCCAAAACUAUUUCAAGCUGGGGUUUCAUGUAGUGUCUGGCAGAUAGGAUUGCUGUUUCCCUUGAAUAUAUAAAAUACUCCAUAGCAGGGCAUCUGGCUGGCUCAGUCUUGAUCUUGGGGUCAUGAGUUCAAACCCUAUUAAAAAAAAAUUCCACAGCACCCCUGUGGGAUAGCUGGGACACCUGGGAUACCUCAGCACAUAGUCUCAAAACUGUGGCUCUACUAGCAUAUAAUGUUUUAGUUUUGAUUUUCUUCACUGCAGAGUAGGAGAGAAAGUUAGAGGCUGGGAGUAUCUUUCUUCAUUGACCAAAUGUUGGUUCUUUAUCUCACUCUGAUUUUGAUUCUGGUGAUGGAAGCCUCUACUAAUGUGGUUUCUUGGGGGCUCAUAUUCAUCAAUUCCCCCUCUAUCACUGCAUACCCUUUCAGGCAAGAGUAGCUUUCCCCUCUUUGGCCUUUAGUUGAUAUCUCUAGUUUACCUCACUUAGCCAUGUGUCUAUUUGGACAUUCCUUUCAAUUUUUGAGUUCCCUAUUUUUUCUUAUGAAGCCAGAAGAACUCCUGGGCCCUGUUUCUACUAUUUCUGGAAUGCCUUGAAGAACCAAUCUGAGAAAAGAAUUUACUCCUUUUAUUUUUCUGAGUUUUCUUUUUCUUUUUUUUUUUUUUUUACUUAAGAUACAAUUGAUAUAGAACAUUGUAUUAGUUUCAGAUAUACAGCAUAAUGAUAUGUUUGUAUACACUGCAAAAUGUUCACCACAAUAAAUCUAGUUUACAUUCAUCA